UGCGAUCAUACCAGCACUAAUGCACCGGAUCCCAUCAGAACUCCGAAGUUAAGCGUGCUUGGGCGAGAGUAGUACUAGGAUGGGUGACCUCCUGGGAAGUCCUCGUGUUGCACC
rnacentral:rRNA from 1 species